UACGGGGGGAGCAAGCGUUGUUCGGAUUUACUGGGCGUAAAGGGCGCGUAGGCGGCCACCGCAAGUCGGUUGUGAAAUCUCUGGGCUUAACCCAGAAAGGUCAACCGAUACUGCGGGGCUAGAGUGCAGAAGGGGCAACUGGAAUUCUCGGUGUAGCGGUGAAAUGCGUAGAUACCAGAAGGAACACCGGUGGCGAAAGCGGCUUUCUGGUCGAGUACUGACGCUGAGGCACGAAAGCGUGGGGAGCAAACGGG
rnacentral:rRNA from 1 species